rnacentral:rRNA from 1 species
UACAGGGGGUGCAAACGUUGCUCGGAAUCAUUGGGCGUAAAGCGCACGUAGGCGGUUCGUUAUGUCGGAUGUGAAAUCCCCGGGCUUAACCUGGGAACUGCAUUUGUGACUGGCGGACUCGAGUAUGGCAGAGGGGGGUAGAAUUCCACGUGUAGCAGUGAAAUGCGUAGAGAUGUGGAGGAAUACCGAUGGCGAAGGCAGCCCCCUGGGCCAAUACUGACGCUCAUGCACGAAAGCGUGGGGAGCAAACAGG